rnacentral:rRNA from 1 species
UACGUAGGGGGCAAGCGUUGUCCGGAUUUACUGGGCGUAAAGAGCGUGUAGGCGGCCAAGCAGGUCCGUUGUGAAAACUGGAGGCUUAACCUCCAGACGUCGACGGAAACCGCGUGGCUAGAGUCCGGAAGAGGAGAGUGGAAUUCCUGGUGUAGCGGUGAAAUGCGCAGAUAUCAGGAAGAACACCGCUGGCGAAGGCAGAUCUCUGGGCCAUUACUGACGCUGAGGAGCGAAAGCAUGGGGAGCGAACAGG